UAUGGGCUUGGGCUAAACUGCAAUACUGAGUUUCGCCCUACAAAAUUUUUACCGGGAGAUGUCCCUGGUCACGGUGUGCAAGCCUAACAAGUCCUAAAUGGGACUUGCUAAAUGGGAAGCCUAAAGUGAUUACUAAUUUCGCCCACCUAUUUAAUAGGGGCGCGAAACCAACAGCAGAUCCAGGCCCUUUU
rnacentral:other from 1 species